UACGUAGGGUGCGAGCGUUGCCCGGAUUUAUUGGGCGUAAAGGGCGCGUAGGCGGCUCUGCACGUCCGUUGUGAAAUCGCCCGGCUCAACUGGGCGGGGUCAGCGGAUACGGCGGAGCUUGAGCAAGCUAGGGGGCAAUGGAAUUCCCGGUGUAGUGGUGGAAUGCGUAGAUAUCGGGAAGAACACCCGUGGCGAAGGCGGCACUCUGGGACGGUACUGACGCUGAGGAGCGAAAGCGUGGGGAGCGAACAGG
rnacentral:rRNA from 1 species